ACACCCAGAUUUCAACCUGAUGGCAGCCAUCCACCCGAGACGACUUCGUUCCCUGGGCCACGUUCUCCGCAUGGACCCGUCAGGCCUAUACGUGUGCGGAGGAGAAAACCCGGCUGAAGGUUCCCUCCUGAUGGACUGUGAACACUUACCUUUCGACCUCUUGGCCAGACAAGCCAGGAAUAGGAUAUCAGUAUUGGAGCCAUCAAGCCAGGAUCAACCGCCUGCAGCUAUCCAGGGUGGGACUUUUGGUGACGUCCAGAUAGAUCGGUGCUCGUGUGUACGUCAAGCCCUACCAGAGGACCUGAAACUAAGUUAAGUUCUUGUGUGUCACGGCUUCAGGAAGGGUCUGUCCUGCGAGAGCCAGCUGGUGCUAACCCUCCAAGACCUGGACAAGAGCAUGGACCAGAACAAACAGGUCGAUGCCGCGGUGCUUGAUUUUAGCAAAGCAUUCGAUACCGUGCCUCACGAACGUCUACUGAGCAAGCUCGAGCACUAUGGCAUUUCUGGCCUCCUUCAGUCUUGGCUUAGGGACUUCCUUACGGAGAGAGCCCAUAGGGUUGUCUUUGACGGUGGAACGCCAAGGUCACAUCUGGAGUUCCGCAGGGUACUGUGUUAGGCCCUCUACUCUUCCUGCUCUAUAUUAACGACCUACCCGAUUCCGUAGACUCACAUGUUCGACUAUUUGCUGACGAUUGUUUGAUUUAUUGCCUAGCCUUAGCUUAGCAAGCUCUUUGUUGGUGUAAGGUGCUUGAGUGUGUUUUGUUGACAUGCCGAGUGAUGAUGCUGGUAGGGUUUUAUAUUCGGAUACUUUGUAAAUUGAGGCUCAUUUUGAAUUCGGGGCUUUAGCUCUUUCUGUGGUGUACAGGUCGGGUGUAUGGCUGAUUUUGUUUCUGAAGGUUUCUGUGACUGUGUCGAUAGUCUGGAUUGCAUUCGGUCAGUUUGUAAGUUCUGUUUUGUAGUAAACAGGGUCUUCCCUGGUUAACUCACUACCUGUUCUUCUUUCUGUUUUUUUAUGUCGUGGUCACUGGUUGUCGGGACUUCCUUGACCAUUACAUAAGCUGCCUGUGUCGUUAUCUUGGGUCCCGAACCAAGAGAGCGACACCGGCCAGAAAGGAAGACAGGUGAAUGAAAUCAUAGUAGUUGAUUUUUUCUUCUUUAGAAACACUUUCCCGGCGUCGACACAGUCACAGAAACUGAAUCAGCUAUGUACUGGGCUUGGUAUACCAUAGAAACAAAACUUGCUUUCGAAAUUUAAACCGAAACAAACAGCAACAUUUAUUGAGAUUUCAUCAAAGCGCACUCAGCCUCCUGCCACCCAUCAUGAGAUCAUGAUUCUUCCAGCUAUUUCUAUUUUAAAUUUUGUAGUUUAAUUUUGUCUCGUCUUUUCUACCGAGGAUCAUUGCACCGUAGGAAGACAUGCCUGGACGUGGGAAAGGUGCUAAGGACUGGUGAAGGAAGGUGCCGAACAUGCAUGAACAAAAGGGACUUCGCAGUCUUUCCUGCACAUAUGACAAGGAAUGUGUACGAAAUGUGACAGUGGUCCUGGCGGAAGGCGUCUUGGUGCCUCGUUGUGGGUUUCCUUGGAAGUCUUCAUCAGCUUCGUCAGAAGACAUUCCAUGACUUUAUGUUUAGAUGUCUUGAUGGACAUGGGACCUUUCCCAGACAUUUGACAAGCAAUGUCUGGACUUGCUAAGGGAAGGUGGGCAGAGGAGGUGCCAGGCGUCACAGCCACGAAAGCGCAUCACAACACCCGGAGAGACAAUGCUCCUGGCAGAAGGCGUCUUGGUGCCUCCUCUCGUUGUGGGUUUCCUUGGAUGUCUUCAUCAGCUUCUUCAGAAAACUUUCUAUAUGAAAUUAUGUUGUGAUGCCUUAAUGGACAAUGGGACCUUUCCAGACAUUUGACAAGG